CGCCAAACAAGUGAAAAAGGUCAGAAGAAGAAACAAAAAAAAAUAGAAGCUCCAACCGAAUCAAGUUGGCCACCUUUCAAUAAGCGAGCUUCACCCCGACAAUGAAGUUCGAAGCUGAGUUAUGAUAGGUAUGACUCCUAUACUCCUCUUUCUGCUCCUCAUGCGUAGAUUCUGAUGGAGAUCGAAGGAGCAGAAUAUUUAUUGCAACCCCCACC
rnacentral:lncRNA from 1 species